GCCAGCUCUUCCGCUGGGGGGCUUGGGACAUAGUCCGGCUCAGUAGCCAGGGGAACGUGGGGAUCAGUGGGGGUUAACAUCUCCCCUGUUAACCCUGGGGCCAAGUUAAGAGUUAGCUGGGGAGGGGAAUUCGUACUUACCCCCUCCUCCUGUUGUCCCUGUGAGGGUAGUUGGGGAUCUGGACAGGCUGUCCAGCAUCCCUGUAGGUCGGGCACAGAGACCACGGUCCCCUCUGCGCCAUCUGGG
rnacentral:lncRNA from 1 species